rnacentral:tmRNA from 1 species
GGGGGCGUAUUUGGCUUCGACGGGGAUGCGUUGUAUUUAGCAAGCGAGUCGAGGGAACCUGUGGGCCCGCGUCAAAAAACUAUGGGAAUAAAUAUAAACGAUAACGAUAACGUUAAUAUAGCUUUAGCAGCUUAGUCUGCUUAGCCGUCCUACCUUUGAAUACCACGGCUUAGGAUAGGGCGCCGACAGUGGUGAAACGAGUCUGAGUAAGCUUUGCCUCAGAAACGGGAUUUAUGAAGCUACUGAUGUAUGAACCCUGUC